GGGCACUACUGGUGCUCUGUUUCGGUCCCUAUUCCUCACCUAUUGGUUCAAAAAAGGAACAGAAAAGCAGCUCCAAAAUGAGGGCUAAAAAGGUACAAUGGCUGCAAUAUAUUGACGUACACCUAGAACAUGUAUUUACACUGUUUAACCUCCUUACAGUGAUUUUACCCUUUUACAGAGCAGUUAUUUUCACCAAAGCGCUUAGGGUACGUACCUAAGUCGAGGGAACUACAACAGGAGCGUAGGAGCGCAGAUCGUCCUCAUCGCCAUCAUCAUCCUCCUCCUCAUCACCACCACCACCUCCCAGCAGCACCGCGAUCGGGACCACGCCCGGCAUCGCGCUCGGAGCGCCGCAAGUCCUCCUGCCCCUCCAGGUCUGCGACCGUAGACACCUCUCCUAGCAACCCGUCAUCAAAGUAUCUGCCUUCUACCUAUAGCCUGACUGCACCUGACGUGCCCUUCGAGCGCAGUCCCCGUACCCAAGACACUUAGCCAAGCACUUGUGCUUACCUUGUUUUACACUCCUGGUCACCCC
rnacentral:lncRNA from 1 species